rnacentral:rRNA from 1 species
CCUACGGGGGGCAGCAGUGGGGGAUAUUGCACAAUGGGGGGAACCCUGAUGCAGCGACGCCGCGUGGGUGAAGAAGCGCCUCGGCGCUUAAAGCCCUGUCAGUAGGGAAGAAAAUGACGGUACCUGUAGAAGAAGCCCCGGCUAACUACGUGCCAGCAGCCGCGGUAAUACGGAGGGGGCAAGCGUUAUCCGGAUUUACUGGGGGUAAAGGGGGCGCAGACGGCGAUGCAAGCCAGGAGUGAAGGCCCGGGGCCCAACCCCGGGACUGCUCGUGGAACUGCGUGGCUGGAGUGCAGGAGGGGCAGGCGGAAUUCCGGGUGUAGCAGUGAAAUGCGUAGAUAUCAGGAGGAACACCGGUGGCGAAGGCGGGCUGCUGGACUGCAACUGACGUUGAGGCCCGAAAGCGUGGGGAGCAAACAGGAUUAGAUACCCGAGUAGUC